UACGUAGGGCGCAAGCGUUGUCCGGAAUUAUUGGGCGUAAAGAGCUCGUAGGCGGCCUGUUGCGUCCGCUGUGAAAUCCCGGGGCUCAACCCCGGGCCUGCAGUGGAUACGGGCUGGCUGGAGGCAGGCAGGGGAGAACGGAAUUCCUGGUGUAGCGGUGAAAUGCGCAGAUAUCAGGAGGAACACCGGCGGCGAAGGCGGUUCUCUGGGCCUGUUCUGACGCUGGAGGAGCGAAAGCGUGGGGAGCGAACAGG
rnacentral:rRNA from 1 species